CGAGGUGUUGCGCAGUUGGUAGCGCGCGUGGUUUGGGACCACGAGGCCGCAGGUUCGAGUCCUGUCACCUCGA
rfam:Firmicutes bacterium CAG:94 genomic scaffold, scf93